rnacentral:rRNA from 1 species
UACGUAGGGGGCAAGCGUUGUCCGGAAUUAUUGGGCGUAAAGAGCGCGUAGGCGGUCCGAUAAGUCGGCUGUGAAAGUCAGGGGCUCAACCCUUGAAAGCCGGCCGAUACUGUUGGACUAGAGUCCGGAAGAGGCAAGUGGAAUUCCCGGUGUAGCGGUGAAAUGCGCAGAUAUCGGGAGGAACACCAAUGGCGAAGGCAGCUUGCUGGGACGGUACUGACGCUGAGGCGCGAAAGCGUGGGGAGCAAACAGG